AUACGAAGGGGGCUAGCGUUGUUCGGAUUUACUGGGCGUAAAGCGCACGUAGGCGGUUUGUUAAGUCAGAGGUGAAAUCCCGGAGCUCAACUCCGGAACUGCCUUUGAUACUGGCAAGCUAGAGUCCGGAAGAGGUGAGUGGAACUCCUAGUGUAGAGGUGGAAUUCGUAGAUAUUAGGAAGAACACCAGUGGCGAAGGCGGCUCACUGGUCCGGUACUGACGCUGAGGUGCGAAAGCGUGGGGAGC
rnacentral:rRNA from 1 species